CUUUCCCAACGUCAGCAUUACCAAACAAGAGAAAGUAGCAGCACAACAGUUUAUCAAAUAGGGUUCCUAACUUGCAGGCUACCAAUUUAGGCUACCAAUUUUCACUUUCUCACAGAAUGAUUGGCAGGUGAGCUUACAUUUUCUCACACCUCGUUUUCUAGUUAAUAUUUUGCCCCAUCUCAUAAUCCAUGAUCUUCGGCCUUCGUUAUGUUGUCUUAAUGACAAGUUUGUUACUCUCAGUCAUUACGAAUUGUUUCUCAAUUAGGUACUGAUUGGUAUCUAAACUCCACUGUUCUAUGAAUGCAUCUAUUGUGGUAGCUUUUGCAUUUUUGUGAGAGGUUAUGAUCGAUAAAACAUAAUAUGGUAGCAGUCAUGGAGGGGUUUAAUGAAUUUGAACAAGGAGGUUCUCUGAAUGAGUUAUGAUUUGUCUUAAUUUUAUAUAAAUCAGGAUGCAUGCCUGGAAUCGUGCAUCCGGUUUUCGUACAUGCAAUUUAUCGAAGAGGAGUUAUGCAAGUGAUGCUGCCAAAGCUAGUUUGAAUCAUCAAGCUGAAAAUGUUCAUGUACAUCCUUUUACAUUUAUUACCUUUAAUUGCUUUUAUUUUGGCUGUUCG
rnacentral:lncRNA from 1 species